rnacentral:rRNA from 1 species
AUUGAACGCUGGCGGCAGGCCUAACACAUGCAAGUCGAGCGGAUGAAGGGAGCUUGCUCCUGGCUUCAGCGGCGGACGGGUGAGUAAUGCCUAGGAAUCUGCCUGGUCGUGGGGGAUAACGUCAGGACACGGGCGCUAAUACCGCAUCCGUCCUGAGGGAGAACGUGGGGGAUCUUUGGACCUCACGCUAUCAGAUGAGCCUAGGUCGGAUUAGCUAGUUGGUGGGGUAAAGGCCUACCAAGGCGACGAUCCGUAACUGGUCUGAGAGGAUGAUCAGUCACACUGGAACUGAGACACGGUCCAGACUCCUACGGGAGGCAGCAGUGGGGAAUAUUGGACAAUGGGCGAAAGCCUGAUCCAGCCAUGCCGCGUGUGUGAAGAAGGUCUUCGGAUUGUAAAGCACUUUAAGUUGGGAGGAAGGGCAGUAAGUUAAUACCUUGCUGUUUUGACGUUACCAACAGAAUAAGCACCGGCUAACUUCGUG